CAGCAGCCACGGUAAUACAGAGGGUGCAAGCGUUAAUCGGAAUUACUGGGCGUAAAGCGUGCGCAGGCGGUGUUGUAAGACUGAUGUGAAAUCCCCGGGCUCAACCUGGGAACUGCAUUGGUGACUGCAACGCUGGAGUGCGGCAGAGGGGGAUGGAAUUCCGCGUGUAGCAGUGAAAUGCGUAGAUAUGCGGAGGAAUACCGGUGGCGAAGGCGGCCCCCUGGACAAAGACUGACGCUCAGGUGCGAAAGCGUGGGGAGCAAACAGGAUUAGAUACCCCAGUAGUCCCUGUCUCUUAUAC
rnacentral:rRNA from 1 species